AGUGAACGCUGGCGGUAGGCCUAACACAUGCAAGUCGAACGGCAGCACAGUAAGAGCUUGCUCUUACGGGUGGCGAGUGGCGGACGGGUGAGGAAUACAUCGGAAUCUACUUUUUCGUGGGGGAUAACGUAGGGAAACUUACGCUAAUACCGCAUACGACCUACGGGUGAAAGCAGGGGAUCUUCGGACCUUGCGCGAUUAAAUGAGCCGAUGUCGGAUUAGCUAGUUGGCGGGGUAAAGGCCCACCAAGGCGACGAUCCGUAGCUGGUCUGAGAGGAUGAUCAGCCACACUGGAACUGAGACACGGUCCAGACUCCUACGGGAGGCAGCAGUGGGGAAUAUUGGACAAUGGGCGCAAGCCUGAUCCAGCCAUACCGCGUGGGUGAAGAAGGCCUUCGGGUUGUAAAGCCCUUUUGUUGGGAAAGAAAAGCAGCAGGUUAAUACCCCGCUGUUCUGACGGUACCCAAUGAAUAAGCACCGGCUAACUUCGUG
rnacentral:rRNA from 1 species